rnacentral:lncRNA from 1 species
UCUAGAUCUUUAAAUGGGUAAUCGCCAUAAAUAACAUCAGAGAGGUCACCAACAUUUUUCUGGUGCAUAUAAAUACGGUGCUACCAUAUGAUAAAACAACCAUGAAAGAGAGAGAGAGUUAAUUUACAGUUGAAGGAUGUGAGAGAGAGAGAGAGAGAGAAAGAGGGAGAGAAAGAGGUUUUUGACCUUUUAGGUUAGAAGCGGUCAGAGAGGAGGGCAGCCUUUCUGAUACAACCCAUAUGGAAAAGCCCUUGGUUUCUCAGAUUAUUUUCGAGAAUGCCACUACUCGUGUUUGGCUUUAAUUGGUCCU